rnacentral:lncRNA from 1 species
GAGUUUACAGGUGGGAAAAUGUGGUUGGAAUGAACUCAAGAUGUUGUUUGAGUGAUGUCUAGGCAAGGCAAGGUUUAGCUCCUUUGGGAGUUUGUUGACUGGUUCUUGAAAAGUGCAAGAGAUGAAAUUUUUUAGUGAAUGAAUGAGCAAUGGUUGGUCUUUGACAUGGUGGCUGUCACUGAGGUUUUUUCAAUGACAGAAAAUGCAGUUUUGACUGUAUCAAACCAAGCCAGGCUUUUGUUCUUU